rnacentral:miRNA from 1 species
GCUCACUGCUCUUUCUGUCAGCU